rnacentral:rRNA from 1 species
CCUACGGGAGGCAGCAGUGAGGAAUAUUGGUCAAUGGGCGCGAGCCUGAACCAGCCACGCAGCGUGAAGGAUGACUGCCCUCCGGGCUGUAAACUCUUUUUAUAAAGGAAUAAAGUGAGGCACGUGUGCAUUUUUGUAUGUACUUUAUGAAUAAGGAUCGGCUAACUCCGCGCCAGCAGCCGCGGUAAUACGGAGGAUCCGAGCGUUACCCGGAUCUAUUGGGUUUAAAGGGAACGUAGAUGGGUGGUUAAGUCAGUUGUGAAAGUUUGCGGCUCAACGGUAAAAUUGCAAUUGAUACUGGCAGCCUUGAGUGCAGUUGAGGAAGGCGGAAUUCGUGGUGUAGCGGUGAAAUGAUUAGAUA